UACGUAGGGGGCAAGCGUUGUCCGGAAUCAUUGGGCGUAAAGCGCGCGUAGGCGGCCCGGUAAGUCCGUUGUGAAAGUCAAAGGCUCAACCUUUGAACGCCGAUGGAUACUGCCGGGCUAGAGUCCGGAAGAGGCGAGUGGAAUUCCUGGUGUAGCGGUGGAAUGCGCAGAUAUCAGGAGGAACACCAAUAGCGAAGGCAGCUCGCUGGGACGGUACUGACGCUGAGGUGCGAAAGCGUGGGGAGCAAACAGG
rnacentral:rRNA from 1 species